UUGCAGUAUGCAAUUAACCUUAAGGGAAAAAAAAGUAUAAAACCACUAGCACCAAUUUAAAAUUAUAAGAAGUUUGCCAGUUGACAAGAUGUACAAACAUACGAGUUUAUUUGUUUUAUUCAUCAUGAUAAUUUCCUUAGGUCAUUCACGAAGUGCAGUUGAGAAGAAUUCUGGUGAAGAUACAUCAUGCGAACCAUAUACGGAAUUCUAUGAUGGAUGCAACUCUUGUGUUUGUUCAGAGGACGGCCACAGUAUUUGCCUUAAAAUGGGUUGUUUCGAUAGUCCGCCAGAAUCAAUAAAUUAAUCGAUCUAUGGAUAGAAAAUCAUAACUACAUAAAGUUAAUAGUUUGAUCAUUUCAGUUAUGGCGCCAACUGUAACACCAUUCAAAUUAUAAUUUCAGAUAAUAAUCAUAUUCUAUCAAAUUGGGUAAUAAAUAAAAAAUAAUAUUUAUCUUAA